rnacentral:lncRNA from 1 species
UAAGUUCUCUAAUACCGGAUGUUAACAAAAUAUUCCAAGUUUCCACAUAACCGCGGGCACGGCUUUCCGAAAGAUUAAACCCUGCAGGGGUGCUCCAACCAGUCCAUCACAAACGAACACAGGCCGCAAAGGCAUCCUCUAUCACGAAUCUCGUGAUCUCGUCGGAUUCCUUAGAGGAAAACCUCAACUCUGGGGGAAAC